rnacentral:misc_RNA from 1 species
GAAAUGCGAUAAGUAAUGUGAAUUGCAGAAUUCAGUGAAUCAUCGAAUCUUUGAACGCAUCUUGCGCUCCUUGGUAUUCCUUGGAGCAUGCCUGUUUGAGUAUCAUGAAAUCUUCAAAGUAAAUCUUUUGUUAACUCAAUUGGUUUCUACUUUGGUAUUGGAGGUCUUUGCAGCUUCACACCUGCUCCUCUUUGUUCAUUAGUUGGAUCUCAGUGUUAUGCUUGGUUCCACUCGGCGUGAUAAGUUAUCUAUCGCUGAGGACACUGUAAAAGGUGGCCAAGGUAAAUGCAGAUGAACCGCUUCCAAUAGUCCAUUGACUUGGACAAUACUUUUAUGAUCUGAUCUCAAAUCAGGUAGGACUACCCGCUGAACUUAAGC